AUGCAGUUAAUGCGGCUAUCUGGCUGUGCGGUGGUAGGUGGGCUGAAGGUUGAUUUCUCUAGGAUCCCAGUUCAGGGGGGAGGUCGAGAGAUUAACUGCGGCGCCGAGCUUCGUUUGUCCGGCGACCUAGCAGGCGACCUCGCACGCGCUCCGCCGACCAUGGAGUUCUUGCUUCAGACGAUAAACAUAACGCUGCUUGAGGAGGUGAACGAUAACAACGGCGCAAUGGAACCUGUGACGUUCCCCGUCACCGCGCCGGCGGAGCUUGCGCUUCCACUACCUGCCGCUUCAUGUGCGGACGCACAGAUCUAUUGGGCGGAGACAGAAGCUGCUGACGUGCGUUAG
rnacentral:rRNA from 1 species